UUGUUGGAAAUAAUGUUACUCCACCAAAGAUAUUAUGAGAACGAAUUAUAAAAAAAAAUCGAAAGAAUAAUAGGAGAUGAAGGAAUGACAAAGUAUAUAUAUGAAGAAAUUGAAGGCUCAAACACAAUCUUUAAUUGUUGUCCUCAAACGAAUUUUGCCCCCACUAUUUUGGUGUUUAAAGGGUGAUCCGGCAAAAGGUUUGAAGGAUUAAUCAAGCCUUAUAAAGAUUCAAACACUAAACACUUGUUUGAAUCUUUAAAACUUAAGAACACAAAGAAAAAGAUGAAUAUGAGAGGGUAUUUUUGUUUGGAUUUGAUCUC
rnacentral:lncRNA from 1 species